AGACUCGUGGCAUAUAGCUCAGUAACACGUGGCCAAACUACCCUACAGACCGCGAUAACCUCGGGAAACUGAGGCCAAUAGCGGAUAUCACUCUCAUGCUGGAGUGCCGAGAGUGAGAAACGUUCCGGCGCUGUAGGAUGUGGCUGCGGCCGAUUAGGUAGAUGGUGGGGUAACGGCCCACCAUGCCGAUAAUCGGUACAGGUUGUGAGAGCAAGAGCCUGGAGACGGUAUCUGAGACAAGAUACCGGGCCCUACGGGGCGCAGCAGGCGCGAAACCUUUACACUGCACGACAGUGCGAUAGGGGGACUCCGAGUGUGAGGGCAUAUAGCCCUCGCUUUUCUGAACCGUAAGGUGGUUCAGGAACAAGGACUGGGCAAGACCGGUGCCAGCCGCCGCGGUAAUACCGGCAGUCCGAGUGAUGGCCGAUAUUAUUGGGCCUAAAGCGUCCGUAGCUUGCUGUGUAAGUCCAUUGGGAAAUCGACCAGCUCAACUGGUCGGCGUCCGGUGGAAACUACACAGCUUGGGGCCGAAAGACUCGACGGGUACGUCCGGGGUAGGAGUGAAAUCCUGUAAUCCUGGACGGACCACCAAUGGGGAAACCACGUUGAGAGACCGGACCCGACAGUGAGGGACGAAAGCCAGGGUCUCGAACCGGAUUAGAUACCCGGGUAGUCCUGGCUGUAAACAAUGCUCGCUAGGUAUGUCACGCGCCAUGAGCACGUGAUGUGCCGUAGUGAAGACGAUAAGCGAGCCGCCUGGGAAGUACGUCCGCAAGGAUGAAACUUAAAGGAAUUGGCGGGGGAGCACCACAACCGGAGGAGCCUGCGGUUUAAUUGGACUCAACGCCGGACAUCUCACCGGUCCCGACAGUAGUAAUGACGGUCAAGUUGACGACUUUACUCGACGCUACUGAGAGGAGGUGCAUGGCCGCCGUCAGCUCGUACCGUGAGGCGUCCUGUUAAGUCAGGCAACGAGCGAGACCCACACUUCUAGUUGCCAGCAA
rnacentral:rRNA from 1 species